UGUACAUGCUUUUGUGGCUUCCGGUCUGUUCUGCCUCUCUGCUUCCCUUCAGGUCCUCUGUUGGUGUCAAAGUGUUAAUGUCAUUAAUAGCAUUUACAAAAUCUCUCAACCCCCUGACCCCUGACCCUGCCCCAUCCUGCCCUGCCCCACCCCCCCGCUUUAACCCAACUUCCAUCACCCUCUCCCUCUCCACUCCAUCACUGGUGCGAAGAAGGAUGAAGAGGGAAGUGGGGCAGAGAAGAGAAGAACAAGAGAAGAACGGAGUAAUACUCAUCAUGUUGGAGGAAGUCGUCAAGGCUGGACUCCUGCUGUCCCUCGCAGGAAACAUGCUGAGAACAUGCAAACUACAUGCACAGAGCAGAGGUGGAGGCCAUCCGGAGAUACCAUGUGGUUCGUCGUCUUUCAGCAGUAUUGCCUGUUUGGUGGCAGCAGUGGGUUGGGGGGCUUUGGAGAGGAUUAGAGACCUAAAACGAGAAUGGAGGCAGAGUCAAGGUCAUUUACAACGAGAGCAUUACCGACAGGAGCCGACAGGUGCCAAAGGUAAGGCACUGAGUCACCAGACUGUCAUCUGAAAUGGGAAUCUAUUGUUAUGCAUUAUGCUAUGAAGCACAUAUUUAGAGUUCAGGGUUCGAUUCCGGCUGUGACUGGAAGCUGCAUUUUUCAGCCUUAAAGGCAGAAAGUCAUGGUUGUUUACGCGCUGUAAGGUGAAGCAGCUUAAUCCUACUUCUCUGCCUUCCCACCCAGUGUGACUGUGUCACUCCGCCUUACUAUAUAAAAUCCCUGCCUUACAAUUUCUAACUCAGCUUCAUAAAUGUACAGCAAUACUUGUAUUACAUAUGAACUACUGCACACAGAAUUUAAGAAUGAGAGAGUCAGGGACAUAGAAACAUUAUCUUUUGGCCUGUGAACAUUCUCAUUUUCCACGGUACUUUACUGUGGUACUCUCUACGUACCGCCAGUUAAAAAAUGGUCA